AUUGAACGCUGGCGGCAGGCCUAACACAUGCAAGUCGAACGCGUGGCGGACGGGUGAGUAAUGUCUGGGAAACUGCCCGAUGGAGGGGGAUAACUACUGGAAACGGUAGCUAAUACCGCAUACCAUCGGAGGUGCCCAGAGGGGAUUAGCUUGUAGGGGGGGUAAAGGCUCACCUAGGCGACGAUCCCUAGCUGGUCUGAGAGGAUGACAAGGGACACUGGAACUGAGACACGGUCGAGACGCUGACGGUAGGCAUGAGUGGGUAAUAUUGCACAAUGUGAGCAAGCCUGAUGCAUCCAUGCCGGGUGGAGGAAGAAGGCCUUCGGGUUGGAAAGUACUUUCAGCGGGGAGGCGUUACCCGCAGAAGAAGCACCGGCUAACUCCGUGCCAGCAGCCGCGGUAAUAC
rnacentral:rRNA from 1 species